rnacentral:lncRNA from 1 species
GAGCAGAUGCCUCUGUUUCUUGAGCUGACUUCCAGAUUCUGAGAAAUAAAUGAAGAGUGGAGGCUUGUUUUGGUAGAGGCUGAGAAAAGGAGUUGGCCAUAUUUGCCCUUCAGAACUUCGUGUCAUCCCCCAGCUCCCCAACGGCAGGGCCACAUUCUUUCACAGGACGGAGUUGGGGCAGAUUAUGGCUUCCUCUGGAUUGGAUUUCCCUUGGCUUCCCUGAGGGCAAUCCCCCGAGGAAGCACAUCCUGGAGCCAAACUCACCCAAUGAACCACAGCAACAGCUCCUAGGAGAAUGAAGAGUGUGAAUGGAUGGCCUUUUCAAAAUGAUGAGCCUGGAAGAGUUACAGACUCUGGCCCGAAAGAACCAAAGUUGAAGGUAGAGAUGUUUUAAGGAUGAGCAGAGCAGAACAACUUAGCAGUGGGAUGUUAAAGGCAACAUGAAUCAAGAAACUGGGGAGGGAAUCAUGUUCCAGCAGUGAAGAACAAAGGCAGUUUUUUGGGGAUUUACAUACGCCAUCUCCUACAAAGUUAAAAAAUUUUCUUUUCCUGAAAGACUACAAUCAAGAUACAAACAUGUACAAUGGGUGAAGUGGAUUAACAAGUUUGUGUCAUGUUAAUUAUAUAUUUCAAUAAAGAUAAUUUUGGAACUAGUUUUAUGGAUGUAAAUAUAAAUUACAAGUUAACUAAAUUAUAUUGAGGAUGCAAAUAACUUUGGAAAUAAUUAUAGGUGUAAUCAGCCAUUUGAAAAUAAAAUGAAUACAAUUAAACAUGAAUGACAAAACAUGAUGGCAAAA